UUUUGGGGGUGGUGGCGCUGAGGAAGCGGCUGGAUGCGGGUUUCGGGCUGUAUAAGGACGUAGCAGAAGAGAGGAGCAGCUCGGAAAGGUCUCGACGGAAAGGACGAGACACGCGUACGAGGAAAUAGCCUUAAGUCGGCGUAGCUCGUUUCUUUUGAUAAGUAGCUCCCAGUGGUUUUAUGUCUCAUAAUUGCGGUUUACAGCUGAUUCAGAUAGAGAAAGGCGUGAAUCGUUCGCUGGUUGAAAAGACAAGAGGUGUUUCUUCAGUGACUGGGGAAUGUUAGAAUUAACCCUGUCGUUGCCUCACUCCUUUUUAUAGAUAUUUAGGAAACUGCAGUCUACUUCAGAGCAGGCCGGGCAUCUGGAUGAUCCACUUAAGACAGAGAACAGCCACGGAAUGGAACUGAACCAAGCAAUAACUAAAGCAAAAGCUGUACAUGAAAUCAGCCUGAUCAGUGGGUCCUGCACUUGGUUUUGUUUUGUUUCUUGCUCUUCCUGGGAAGGAUCCUUUCUCCGGAGGGCAUGCUGGUGACAGAAUGAAGUGGGAGCAUCACAGCUCACAGCCACAUUUCCAGAGGGGGCGUGUCCUGAUGCAGCCUGGGUGGGGCAGGUGUGUGUGGGGGGCCACUUCCUGUGUCUCUGCAAAUCUGCCUCCCCACUGACAUCCUGCGUUUCGUAGUGCUUUAUCCUGCCACGCUGUUGGAAGCUGCUGCUGUGAGGAUGGAGAAACCGCAGAAACGGGAGAAGAAGGGAGGAAGGGGAUCCAAUCAGGCAGCGGAGUCCAGGAAUGGAGCGGUCAGCUGCUGCUCAGCCUCCUGUAGGAAAGCGUCGCCAUCUUGUUGACAAGAUAACCAGGCCGCUCUCUUGAACGUUCUCCUGUGUUUUUACUUGCACUUUAAAUUCCUAGUUUUACUUGACCUAGAAGACACCAACCAGAAAAGUGGUUUGAAACAGACCAGAAUCAUGCGACACAUACAUGUUGAAAUUGCACGUAAGGAGGUCCCUGUGGAGCCGCCGGUGCCGCAGGGAGGCCUGCCAGCCUCUCGGGCUCAUGCCCUGCCCUUGGACUCCAGGCCUGCUCCUAGGCUUGUCAGGCCUUUUGGGGAGGAGGAGAUCAAGUUGCAGAA